UACGGGGGGAGCAAGGCGUUGUUCGGAUUUACUGGGCGUAAAGGGCGCGUAGGCGGCGCAACAAGUCACUUGUGAAAUCUCCGGGCUUAACCCGGAGCGGUCAAGUGAUGCUGUCGUGCUAGAGUGCGGAAGGGGCUACUGGAAUUCUCGGUGUAGCGGUGAAAUGCGUAGAUAUCGAGAGGAAGACCAGUGGCGAAGGCGAAUCUCUGGACAGUUACUGACACUGAGGCUCGAAGGCCAGGGGAGCAAACGGG
rnacentral:rRNA from 1 species